GACAGAGGGUGCAAACGUUGUUCGGAAUUACUGGGCGUAAAGCGCGUGUAGGCGGCCCUGCAAGUCGGAUGUGAAAUCCCACGGCUCAACCGUGGAAGUGCAUUCGAAACUGCAGGGCUAGAGUCCUGGAGAGGAAGGUAGAAUGCUUGGUGUAGAGGUGAAAUUCGUAGAUAUCAAGCGGAACACCGGUGGCGAAGGCGGCCUUCUGGACAGUGACUGACGCUGAGACGCGAAAGCCAGGGGAGCGAACGGG
rnacentral:rRNA from 1 species